GGGGAUGUAUCUCAGUGGGAGAGCGCAUGUUUUGCAUGUAUGAGGCCCCGGGUUCAAUCCCCGGCUUCUCCA